rnacentral:misc_RNA from 1 species
UAUGAAGAACGCAGCGAAAUGCGAUACUUGGUGUGAAUUGCAGAAUCCCGUGAACCAUCGAGUCUUUGAACGCAAGUUGCGCCCGAAGCCUCGGCUAAGGGCACGUCUGCCUGGGCGUCACGCAUCGCGUCUCCCCCAAACCGCCAAGGCGGAGGGGAAGGAAGAUGGCUUCCCGUGCCUCACCCGGCGCGGUUGGCCUAAAUUUGGAGCCCGCGGCACUUAGCUCUCGCGGCGAUAGGUGGUGAACAAGGCCUUGGCCGUGCAAACAACCCGCUGCGAAGCUCUAUGUCACGUGCGCUCGUCGGACCCUUUGAAGUUGCCUUCGGUGACUUAAAACCUUUGCGACCCCAGGUCAGGCGGGGCUACCCGCUGAAUUUAAGCAUAUCAAUAAGCGGAGGA